CAGGGGCACCGCAUGGUGAUAUUUGUUAAAGAUUUAUUGGUGAUAGAUGGGCAUGCGUUCGAUUAGCUAGUUGGCGGGGUAACGGCCCACCAAGGCGACGAUCGAUAGGGGAGCUGAGAGGUUGAUCCCCCACACGGGCACUGAGAUACGGGCCCGACUCCUACGGGAGGCAGCAGUAGGGAAUAUUGGGCAAUGGAUGCAAGUCUGACCCAGCCAUGCCGCGUGCCGGAUGAAGGCCCUCAGGGUUGUAAACGGCUUUUAUUCGGGAAGAAGAGCAGGGAUGCGUCCUUGUGUGACGGUACCGAAUGAAUAAGCACCGGCUAACUCCGUGCCAGCAGCCGCGGUAAUACGGAGGGUGCGAGCGUUGUCCGGAUUUAUUGGGUUUAAAGGGUGCGUAGGUGGCUGUUUAAGUCAGUGGUGAAAUACGGUUGCUCAACAAUCGAGGUGCCAUUGAUACUGAAUAGCUUGAAAUAAUUGGAGGCUGCCGGAAUGGAUGGUGUAGCGGUGAAAUGCAUAGAUAUCAUCCAGAACACCGAUUGCGAAGGCAGGUGGCUACGAUUGGUUUUACACUGA
rnacentral:rRNA from 1 species